rnacentral:lncRNA from 1 species
CAGACUUUUUAAUGUGAUGGCUGGAUUUGAAUGAAUGCCUGAAAUUCAUAUUGUUCAGUCUUUCAAGUAUUAGAGAGCUACCCUAGAAAAAGUCCCAGACUGCCUGUUUUUCCAGUAAGGGCGGACCAAUGACUGAUUCAUACUUCCAUUAUAUCACAAUUGUGCUUUUGUUUGGCACCAUUAUGCCUCUUGCAAGUCGCUUGCAGAUGGUCCAGAAGCCACAGAACAGGCUGUACUUCAUUUCAAUUCCAGCCAUCACCAUCUUAUGGACUCUUUCCAGUUUACAACAAGAAGUUGGACAAACAUCCUGUGGUCAUGUCUGGCCAUGGAUUUGUCUCACAAGCUCUCAAUGAUCAGAAAUCUCAGUUCAUACGGAAGGGUUGUCAAUCUGAGGUCCAUGGAAGUACUACAGCUGGGGGCUGGAUCAUGCCCACUUUUUUCAAUGGGAGAAGAGAUGCAUACAAGAAAAGUAGUACAAGACCAGCCUGUCAAAACUGCAGAUACAAUUUACCAGUUCCUUAUCUUCUUGAGAAAAGAGAGGCUCAUUUUGUUGAGCAAGAGUAAAUUAAAGUAACACAGGAGGCUUACCACAUGGAAAGACAUAGGGCAGGGCUGGCUUUAUAAGAAUAAAUGUAUGACCCUUACAUUGAAAAUUAGAAGA